rnacentral:rRNA from 1 species
UACGUAGGUGGCGAGCGUUGUCCGGAUUUACUGGGCGUAAAGCGCGCGCAGGCGGGCUGGUCAGUCCGGGGUGAAAUCUCACGGCUCAACCGUGAGCGGUCCCCGGAUACUGCCAGUCUUGAGGUGUCUAGAGGAGAGCGGAAUUCCCGGUGUAGUGGUGGAAUGCGUAGAUAUCGGGAAGAACACCAGUGGCGAAAGCGGCUCUCUGGGGACCACCUGACGCUGAGGCGCGAAAGCGUGGGGAGCAAACAGG